AGCUUUGUGCAGUGGCAGUAUCGUAGCCAAUGAGGUUUAUCCGAGGUGCAAUUAUUGCUAAUUGAAAAUAUUUUUAGGGGCGCCUGGGUGGCUCAGUGGAUUAAGCUGCCUUCUGCUCAGGUCGUGAUCUCGGGGUCCUGGGAUC